GGGGGUGUAGCUCAGUGGCAGAGCGCAUGCCUCCAGGCAAGUAUGAAGCCCUGGGUUCAAACCCCAGCACCACAU
rnacentral:tRNA from 1 species